UGAGAACAUCAAAACACCACCAAAAUUCAUAUCUUCCUGGCAUUGUUUUUUAAUAGCCACAGGGGUAAAUUUCUAAGUAAUGAAUGAGUUACCAGUGAUCCCAUCAGGAUGCUGUGUCAUGGAUUCAUAUACACAGAUACUACGAGGAUGACCACAACAUUAUACUCAUCCUACCUAGUUAACCUGAUGACUCCAGGUGACUCAUCAUGAACAGCAGACACCAGCUUGAACUUCCGGACCCUCCCAUGGUUUCUCAAACCUCUGUAGGAAUGAGUGAAUAAAAGCAAGUGUA